ensembl:misc_RNA Y_RNA Y RNA
GGCUGGUCCCAGUGCAGUGUUGUUUACAACUAAUUGAUCACAUCCAGUUAUAGAUUCCUUUGUUCCUUCUCCACUCUCACUGCCUCACCUGAUAGCCUAAA